rnacentral:pre_miRNA from 1 species
UUGCCAAUCUAAGUAGUAGUGCCGCAGGUACUGAUUUUAAAAGGCUUACCUGUACACGACUACUUAAAUUGGCAA